rnacentral:lncRNA from 1 species
AUCUAGUGUACAACCUUUAUUACAUCUUAUGCUUGAAUAUCGCUGUUGUCUUUGAGUUGGUUUCAAAACCUCGGAUUUUUUUUUCCUUCAUUAGCUGCAUUAAAAAAAAGAAAUUUCCAGGUGAUUAUUAUUAUCUUCUGUAGAAACAGGAUCUCACUGCGCUGCCCAGGCUAGUCUGGAACUCUUGGCCUCAAGUGAUCCUCUGGCCUUGACCUGCUAAAGUGCUGGGAUUACAGGUGUGAGGCACCACGCCUGCCCCCCAAGGUGAUUUUAAGGAACAGACAAAUUUGUGAACCACUAUCCCUAAGUGCUUAGCACACCAUUCAUUUCACUCUUAAUUAUAUCCUUCAAUGGAACUAACUCCCUUAGUGGCAGGCGUAAUAUGCCUGUGAUUUCUGAGCUUAGAUGCUCUUUAAAAAUAGUUGUUUUUGGCCGGGUGUGGUGGCUCACGCCUGUAAUCCCAGCACUUUGGGAGGCCGAGAUGGGUGGAUCAUGAGGUCAGGAGUUCAAGACCAGCCUGACCAACAUGGUGAAACCCUGUCUCUACUAAAAAUGCAAAAAUUAGCCAGGCAUGGUGACGUGUGCCUGUAAUCCCAGCUACUCAGGAGGCUGAGGCAGGAGAAUCACUUGAAUCCAGGAGGUGGAGGUUGCAGUGAGCCGAAUUGCGCCAUUGCACUCCAGCCUGGGCAACAGAGAGAGACUCCGUCCCACCUCCCACCCCCGCCAACAAAAAAGUUUUUUCAUAUUCAUUGUGUUAGCCCAAAAUAUCUGAGACAGGUCUCAAUCAGUUUAGAAAGUGUAUUUUGCCAAAGUUAAGGAUGCACGUGUGACACUGCCUCAGGUGGUCCUGAAGACAUGUGCCCAAGGUGGUCAGGCUACAGCUUGUUUUUGUACAUUUUAGGAAGAAAUAAUACAUCAAUCAAUACAUGUAAGAUUUACACUGGUUCUAUCUGGAAAGCUGGAAAGCGGGAAAACUCAAAGUUGGGGGAGGGCUUCGAGGUCACAGGUAGAUUUCAACAUAUUCUGAUUAGCAAUUGGUUGAAAGAGUUAUUAUCAGUAGAAAGGAAUGUCUGGGUUAAGAUAAAAGUUGUGGAGACCAAAGGUUUAUUAGGCAGAUGAAGCCUCCAGGUAGCAGGCUUCCAAGAAAAGAGAUCCUAAAUGUUUCUUAUCAGACUUAAGGUCUGUGGUGAUGUUAAUACUGGAGGGGUAAAAUAAGGCAUGUCUGACUUCCUUUGCGGCCUAAAUCAGUCUUUCAGGUUAAAUUUUAAAGUGCCCUGGCCAAGGAGGAAGUCCAUUCAGGUGAGGGUGCAGGCGUGCUUCAAAUUUUAUUUUUAGUUUACAACUGUUAGCGAAAAGUACGUCCUCUCAAUUUCCGUUUUCCCCCUGUAUUUACUUAAGAACUAUUUUCCAGUUCCUUCUAUAUCUUGCUUUGCAUCUCCAGCAAAGAGAUACUAAAGUUUUCUCUUGGUCUUCUUUUCAGAGGUGCGGUUUGAUGAUUACGCACAAAGAGACAAAGAUAAUGAGUGGGGGUAGACCUGCUAGCUUAACUUUUUCUUUUAGAGAAGCACCUAAGGGGAUCUGUCACAUGGAUGAAUCUACCCUUCUUUGAAGGUCUGAUUUGAAAGCAGAUUGGACUACAUUCUGCACAAAGGCAUUUUAAACAUGCAGGUGUGAAUGCCCCAAAUAACAAUACUUUGAACUUUUACAGAACCUUUCAUCCAGUGAUACCAAAACAAUUCAGUUUAUUAAAGGCCUAGGAAGCUGGGGACAAAACAUCCAAUUGAUCUAUAUAUGGAAAUUUAUUGCAUUAACUUGGUUGGUGAUUCCUUUCAAGUCUCCCAACGCUGGGGCAUAUAAGCAGAGAAAACUGUACGGUUUCUGCAAGCUACCUCUCCAAAUUGUAAUAUUUUCCAUUUCCAACUCCUCAAGAAGAGCUAAUCCUCUUCUUUUCACAUUUAUGCUUAAUUAGAGAGUUACCAGUUCACAGACAGUUAUUUAUGUUCAGAACCUAAUAAAUUCUUGUUUCUGCCUUAAUUUGACCAAGGAUUGCCUUCUAUGUCAUGUUCUAAAGAAGCCCAUUGAACAAAUAAAUAAAAACAGACUUCACCUGUAGUGAGGGAGAACUAUUAUCUAAUCAAUUUUUCAUUUUAAAAAUUAAAUACUUCAAAAUUGGCUGGGUGUGAUGGCCCACACCUGUAAUCCCAGCACUUUGGGAGGCCAAGGCAGGAGAAUCACUUGAGCCCAGGAGUGCAAGACUAGCCUGGGCAACAUCGUGAGAUCCUGUCUCUAAAAAAAAAAAAAAAAAUUAAAAAUUAGCCAGGUAUGGUGGUGCAGUGCUAUGUGCCUGUAGUCCCAGGUAGACAGGAGGAUGAGGUGGGAGGAUUGCUUGAGCCCAGGAGGUCGAGGCUGCAGUGAGCUGUGAUUGUGCCACCGCAAUCUAGCCUGAGCAAAAAGUGAGACCCUGCAUCAAAAAAAAAAAAAAUUGUAAUUAAAUCUUAUUUUUAAUCUGAGAGCAUAGAUUUAAGUUGCCCUGAAUAUACACUCUCACUUAUCUAAUUGAUUUUUUUUUUUUCUUCGAGGCAGAGUCUUGCUCUGUCACCCAGGUUGGAGUACAGUGGCAUGAUCUCACCUCUGCCUCCCGGGUUCAAGCCAUUUUCGUGCCUCAGCUUCCCAAGUAGCUGGGAUUACAGGCAUGUGCCACCAUGCCUCCAUGCCUGGCUACUUUUUUUUUUUUUUUUCAGUAGAGACGGGGGUUUCACCAUGUUGCCCAGGCUGAUCUUGAACUCCUGGCCUCAAUCGAUCCGCCUGCCUCGGCCACCCAAAGUGCUGUGGGAUUACAGGUGUGAGCCACCGUGCCUGGCCAAUCGAAUUGAUUUUUAAAUGAACAAUCUUUUUUUUUUUUUUUUUGAGACAGUUUCACUUUUUGCCUAGGCUGAAGUGCAAUGGCGCGAUCUCAGCUCACCACAACCUCUGCCUCCCAGGUUCAAGCGAUUCUC